CCUACGGGGGGCAGCAGUGGGGAAUAUUGGACAAUGGGGGGAACCCUGAUCCAGCCAUGCCGCGUGUGUGAAGAAGGCCCUCGGGUUGUAAAGCACUUUCAGUGAGGAAGAACGCCUGGUGGUUAAUACCCAUCAGGAAAGACAUCACUCACAGAAGAAGCACCGGCUAACUCCGUGCCAGCAGCCGCGGUAAUACGGAGGGUGCGAGCGUUAAUCGGAAUUACUGGGCGUAAAGCGCGCGUAGGUGGCUUGAUAAGCCGGUUGUGAAAGCCCCGGGCUCAACCCGGGAACGGCAUCCGGAACUGUCAAGCUAGAGUGCAGGAGAGGAAGGUAGAAUUCCCGGUGUAGCGGUGAAAUGCGUAGAGAUCGGGAGGAAUACCAGUGGCGAAGGCGGCCUUCUGGACUGACACUGACACUGAGGUGCGAAAGCGUGGGUAGCAAACAGGAUUAGAUACCCUGGUAGUC
rnacentral:rRNA from 1 species